rnacentral:rRNA from 1 species
UACGUAGGUGGCAAGCGUUGUCCGGAUUUACUGGGCGUAAAGAGCGCGCAGGCGGUCGUUCAAGUCGCGUGUGAAAGCCCCCGGCUCAACUGGGGAGGGUCACGCGAUACUGAUUGACUCGAAGGCAGGAGAGGGUAGUGGAAUUCCCGGUGUAGUGGUGAAAUGCGCAGAUAUCAGGAGGAACACCGGUGGCGAAGGCGGGUCUCUGGGCCGAUACUGACGCUGAGGAGCGAAAGCGUGGGGAGCGAACAGG